rnacentral:rRNA from 1 species
GGGGAAGAGUGGCGAACGGGUGAGUAACACGUGGGCAAUCUGCCCUGCACUCUGGGAUAACUCCGGGAAACCGGAGCUAAUACCGGAUACGACUCUCCAGGGCAUCCUGGGGGGUGGAAAGCUCCGGCGGUGCAGGAUGAGCCCGCGGCCUAUCAGCUGGUUGGUGGGGUAACGGCCCACCAAGGCGACGACGGGUAGCCGGCCUGAGAGGGCGACCGGCCACACUGGGACUGAGACACGGCCCAGACUCCUACGGGAGGCAGCAGUGGGGAAUAUUGCACAAUGGGCGCAAGCCUGAUGCAGCGACGCCGCGUGAGGGAUGACGGCCUUCGGGUUGUAAACCUCUUUCAGCAGGGAAGAAGCGCGAGUGACGGUACCUGCAGAAGAAGCACCGGCUAACUACGUGCCAGCAGCCGCGGUAAUACGUAGGGUGCGAGCGUUGUCCGGAAUUAUUGGGCGUAAAGAGCUCGUAGGCGGCCUGUCGCGUCGGAUGUGAAAGCCCGGGGCUUAACCCCGGGUCUGCAUUCGAUACGGGCAGGCUAGAGUUCGGUAGGGGAGA